rnacentral:tRNA from 2 species
GAGAGGUUAGUUAAAUUAUAACACUGCCUUGUCAAGACAAAAUUACUAGUGAAAAUCUUGUACCCCUCU